UGGUUUUUAAAAUCUCUAGUGCACAAAAAGAGAUCAUCCUCCUCAAGCAGUCAUCGGUGUUAGAGACAGAGUCCUGUAUGUGCUCAGCAACAUCCCUGGCCUUCUGAGGGUGAAGGAUAGGUAUUUACACAGGAGAGAUAAAAGCAUGUGCAGAUACGAAGACUGGUGCAUGAAUGUUCACAGCAGCUUUAUUUGUAAGAGCCAAAACCUAUUGAUAAUCCAAACGU